rnacentral:rRNA from 1 species
UACGUAGAGUGCGAGCGUUGUCCGGAAUUAUUGGGCGUAAAGAGCGCGCAGGCGGUCGUGCAAGUCGCGUGUGAAAGCCCCCGGCUCAACUGGGGAGGGUCACGCGAUACUGCUCGACUCGAAGGCAGGAGAGGGAAGUGGAAUUCCCGGUGUAGUGGUGAAAUGCGUAGAUAUCGGGAGGGAACACCCGUCAGCGAAGGCGGGCACUCUGGGCCGGUACUGACGCUGAGGAGCGAAAGCGUGGGGAGCAAACAGG